AUUGAACGCUGGCGGCAGGCCUAACACAUGCAAGUCGAACGGUAGCACAGAGAGCUUGCUCUCGGGUGACGAGUGGCGGACGGGUGAGUAACGUCUGGGAAACUGCCCGAUGGAGGGGGAUAACUACUGGAAACGGUAGCUAAUACCGCAUAACGUCGCAAGACCAAAGUGGGGGACCUUCGGGCCUCACACCAUCGGAUGUGCCCAGAUGGGAUUAGCUAGUAGGUGGGGUAAUGGCUCACCUAGGCGACGAUCCCUAGCUGGUCUGAGAGGAUGACCAGCCACCGUGGAACGAGGACACGGUCCAGACUCCUACGGGAGGCAGCAGUGGGGAAUAUUGCACAAUGGGCGCAAGCCUGAUGCAGCCGUGCCGCGUGUAUGAAGAAGGCCUUCGGGUUGUAAAGUACUUUCAGCGGGGAGGAAGGCGGUGAAGUUAAUAGCUUCACCGAUUGACGUUACCCGCAGAAGAAGCACCGGCUAACUCCGUGCCAGCCGCCGCCGUAA
rnacentral:rRNA from 1 species